rnacentral:rRNA from 1 species
CCUACGGGAGGCAGCAGUGGGGAAUAUUGCGCAAUGGGCGAAAGCCUGACGCAGCGACGCCGCGUGAGGGAUGAAGGUCUUCGGAUCGUACACCUCUGUCAGCAGGGAAGUACGGUCACUGUGCUAAUCAGCAGUGAAUUGACGGUACCUGCAAAGGAAGCACCGGCUAACUCCGUGCCAGCAGCCGCGGUAAUACGGAGGGUGCUAGCGUUAAUCGGAAUUACUGGGCGUAAAGCGCUCGUAGGCGGUAUGUCAAGUCAAGGGUGAAAUCCCCGCGCUCAACGUGGGAACUGCCUUUGAUACUGGCAAACUGGAGUGUGUGUGAGGAUAGUGGAAUGCCAGGUGUAGGAGUGAAAUCCGUAGAGAUCUGGAGGAACAUCAGUGGCGAAGGCGACUAUCUGGCACAUAACUGACGCUGAGGAGCGAAAGCGUGGGUAGCAAACAGGAUUAGAUACCCGUGUAGUC